UGGGGAAUUUUGGACAAUGGGCGCAAGCCUGAUCCAGCCAUGCCGCGUGUCUGAAGAAGGCCUUCGGGUUGUAAAGGACUUUUGUCAGGGAAGAAAAGGCUGUUGCUAAUAUCAGCGGCUGAUGACGGUACCUGAAGAAUAAGCACCGGCUAACUACGUGCCAGCAGCCGCGGUAAUACGUAGGGUACAAGCGUUAAUCGGAAUUACUGGGCGUAAAGCGAGCGCAGACGGUUACUUAAGCAGGAUGUGAAAUCCCCGGGCUCAACCUGGGAACUGCGUUCUGAACUGGGUGACUAGAGUGUGUCAGAGGGAGGUAGAAUUCCACGUGUAGCAGUGAAAUGCGUAGAGAUGUGGAGGAAUACCGAUGGCGAAGGCAGCCUCCUGGGAUAACACUGACGUUCAUGCUCGAAAGCGUGGGUAGCAAACAGGAUUAGAUACCCUGGUAGUCCACGCCCUAAACGAUGUCAAUUAGCUGUUGGGCAACUUGAUUGUUCAGUAGCGUAGCUAACGCGUGAAAUUGACCGCCUGGGGAGUACGGUCGCAAGAUUA
rnacentral:rRNA from 1 species